GGCGGUAUUUUAGUCUAUUCAGAGGAACCUGUUUUUUAAUCGAUAAUCCACGAUGGACCUUACUUAAGUUAGUAAUCAGUUUAUAUACCGUCGUUAUAAGAAUAUUUUAUAAGAAAGUUAAUUUUCAAGAUUUUUUAAUAAAAAAUAUAUCAGAUCAAGGUGUAGCUUAUGUUUAAGUUUAAAUGGGUUACAAUAAAUUUAUUUAUACGAAUAUAAAUAUGAAAUUUUUAUUGAAGGUGGAUUUGAUAGUAAAAUUAUAAAGAUUAAUAAUUUGAUUUUAGCUCUAAAAUAUGCACAUAUCGCCCGUCACUCUUUCUAUUAAAGUAAGAUAAGUCGUAACAUAGUAGAUGUACUGGAAAGUGUAUCUAGAAUGCAAUUUAAAGCUUAUUUAGUAAAGUAUUUCAUUUACAUUGAAAAGAUUUUUGUGCAAAUCAAUAUAAAUUGAUUUUAAAAUUUAUUUAUUUAAUUUUUAUUUUAUUGUUAUAAUUUAUUAAAAAUAUUUAUAAAAAUUUUUGUUUUAGUAUUUAUAAGAAAAAAUAAAUUUUAUUAUAGUUUAAUAGUAUUGUAGAAGAAAAUUGAAAUAAAUUGAAAAAUU
rnacentral:rRNA from 1 species